rnacentral:rRNA from 1 species
UACGGAGGGGGCAAGCGUUGAUCGGAAUUACUGGGCGUAAAGCGCGCGUAGGCGGUCUGAUAAGUCAGAUGUGAAAGCCCCGGGCUCAACCUAGGAAGUGCAUUCGAUACUGCCGGGCUAGAGUAUGGUAGAGGGUGGUGGAAUUCCCGGUGUAGCGGUGAAAUGCGUAGAUAUUGGGAGGAACAUCAGUGGCGAAGGCGACUCCCUGGACCAAUACUGACGCUGAGGUGCGAAAGCGUGGGGAGCAAACAGG